CAAACAGACCCAAGACCCCAUCGUUUCUUCUUCUUUCUUCACGCGACAGCAGCAACCAAGCGGAAAGCCAACGUCCCUAUCCCCAUUAAUGUUGCAACAGUAAGAAAGAGGCACGCGUCUGUCCCCCUUUCUUCUUUCGGAAUGGGUUGAAAGUCUUAGAAAAGUAUGUUUGCCUCUAAUGGUGAAAAUUUUUGAAGUUUGAAAUUCGAAUUGGCCCUAAUUUCUAUCGGUUUCCCCCCGAAAUCUACCCUAAUUUCCCCUAUAUAAUCAUCUCUUCUAUUCAUUUGGAAAGGGGGAAUUUUUGGAGUUUUAAAAUUUUUGGUUAGAAACGUAUUAGAGAAAACAGAGAGGAAAAUUUUUUUCGGAGUCAAGAAAACAAAAAGAUACAUAGAGCUAUAUAGGUUUUUUUAAGCAAAUAUAAUCUCAAGAAAUCAAGUAUUAUAGAGAGUAUUUGGGAGUUAGUUUCCCUUUCCGAGACAUUCCCGCUGCUCGUCGGAGCUUUCGAAAUUCGCGCGUGGUGGUGAAGUCAUCGCUCCAAGUUCGUCCUCGCCUCCGUUCGCUGCCCGAAGAAAGGUAUUGCUUCCUUUGCGAUCUUCUCCUCGCCUUCUUCCACUUUUGAUAUGCUUCUCUGCCUGUGUGGUUGUAUGACUUUAAUACACUAUAUAUGCUUUCCCAAAUGACUUCAUGUCUUAGUCGAGACAAAGUUUUCGUGGUUUUGAAUCUAAUGUUAUGCUUCUUUGCUAUUUGAGAUUACCAUUCACAUGAAUCUAAGAGUUUCGAGUCAACUGAUACGCUAGAGUCGGUCAUGAUGCUAUUUUUCCAUUGUUUCUAUCCUAGUGACUUCUUGUCUCCUCUCUCAUAUUAUUGUUGCGAAUGAAUUUGCUGGGUAUUCCGAUAUGAUUGUUGUUUAGUGUUUAGUUUUUUCGUAUGUAUUUAUCCCGUUUGUCCUGUGUUGUUGGUAGUGUUGAGAUAGUUCUGGGUUAGGACUCAUGCUUGGUUCAAUAUAGUUUUGCCUUCAUCUCGAAUAAUAAUGAGCAUGCCAUUCUUACUUUUCAUGGUCGUGUAAUUUGGAAAUUAUCUAUAAUACGCAUGACUAGUUUGUUUAGCUUACUCGUCUAUUUGUUGUUAGCAAUCAACGAUGUCAGCUGCUAUGAAUGUUUUGUUGGUUUUUACCCAUAUGUGUAUAAGCAUGACAAGUUGAGUAAAAAUGUUUGCCGUAUCUAGUUGUUUAAAUAUAAUAAUAGUCCUAUUGAAAAAAGAAAGAAGGGUGAUUUGGCCUACUACUGUCUCUUAAUGGCACUUUGUCCUUUAGCAUAAUCAAAAUAGCAAUGUUAGG
rnacentral:lncRNA from 1 species